AACUUUACAGGAUAUAUAUAUCAUGUCAUCGCGUAAUGCCGUGAUCUGAUCGCGGGCUCCUCCAUUAGAUUGUUGGUGCUCGGCGCAAUUCCGGCGUACGGUCGUCUUUGGCCAAUCUAUUGGUAAAGGGACGAAUCGUACGUGCGGGCGAGAAGAUAAUGACAUCUCUGCAAUCAUGUUUCUUUCUGCUUGUUUUUGAGUCCCAAUUGCAGUGGAGAUCGACUGGAGAGUGGUCAGGUUACAUUGUACCCAAAUCCACAGGUGCUCACGCAUAUCAGGGAGUAUCAGCAAAGGAAGAGGAAGCACAGAUCGGCUCAAAAGGCGACAUGAUUACAUGCAUCCGUGCAAAUCCUAUGGAACUCCAAAAUAUGACUUGCGCCAUGAUCAUUGCUAGAACUAGUAUUGAGAUAACGGCAUCACGCAUCCAGUUCGACCGAUCCCGGUACGCAGCUCCUUGCAGGCCUGCAGCUAGCGUGCCAAAAAAGUCUGAACCACAUCAUUUCCAUUGCAAAAGGCACACCAUCUUUAUAAGAUUCUUUAUCAGCAGCAAUCUAUGAAAUGGAUUUCCGGUUUUGAGAGGCCCGCGGCCAAGUUCGUCACCUUCAUGGACAUGCCAUGAAUUUUAACAGGUGGAUCUAGAAAAUAAAAGGCAAAUCCACGUGAAGAGGCUAGGAAUUCGUGGCAGAUGCAGUUUUGCUCUUUGGCUUUCUUCAUCAGUGGUAGGUCCUUCCUCAAGGUGCGCUGGAGUGAGCCCUGCACUCAUCAAUCUCUCUAUAUAAAAAUCUGUUCUUGGAUUAAUAAAAUGAUUAUCAUAUCCAUGUAGUUGGGGUUCAAAGUUCAUAGUACUUAGUGGCAGCAGUAUCGUCCAAAUUCUGAAGCCUAUCAAGUUGGCAACCUUUUUCGUUUGAAACUUAUCAACUUGGCAACUUUGUAGUUCUAUCAAUCAGGCACCAAGAGAACAGACUGUAGCUUAAAGUUCGGAUAAAGGAGAUCCAUCAAAUCGG